rnacentral:lncRNA from 1 species
ACAUUUGGAGAAAGUGACCAAGAACGAGUAGUAGAGACCAAACUUCUAUCUUUAUGGCAAGGAUCACAAUCAGCCACUACAUAUGCUGCUGAAUUCUAAAAUCUUGCUUGUGACAUGGACCAGAACAAAAAAGCACUUAUCAACCAAUUUUGAUAUGGAUUGAAGGAUAGCAUCAAAGAUUUGUUAUUAAUAAUAUCGAAAGUACAAUUUUUGGAACUUUUUAUUAUUCAAGCCAUUAGGAUUGUGUUUAUAUUGUGGAGAAGCUAAGCACACUACUCAAUAUUAUCCAAAGAAAUAAUACAAUUACAUAAUGAGGAGCACAAUUAUCAAAGAAGAUAGUGUAUCAAAAAACGAGUUUCUCGAGCUACAAUAGGGACCAUGCGGCUAGAAUCAUGUCUGAUAUCUAAUAAAGGUCCUAUCCUCUCCUCACAUCCC